rnacentral:rRNA from 1 species
CUAAGGUAGCAUAAUCAUUUGUUAUUUAAUUGGUAACUGGAAUGAAAGGUUAAACUAGCUUAUUAAGUUUGUGGGACUAAAUAGGAGUUUAAAGUUAAGGUAAGAAUGCUUUAAUUUUUUAGGGGACGAUAAGACCCUAGAAGCUUAACGAGUAGGCUGUUUUGUUUUAUAAACUUGUUCGUUUUACUGGGGCGGUAAAAAUAAUUAAGCUAUUUUUUAUUUAAAGGAUCCUUAAAAUAAAGAAAAAAUGGAGAAGUUACUCUAGGGAUAA